ensembl:snRNA U6 U6 spliceosomal RNA
GUGCUCACUUUGGCAGCACAUAUACUAAAAUUGGAACGAUACAGAGAAGAUUAGCAUGGCCCCUACGCAAGGAUGACAUGCAAAUUCGUGAAGCAUUCCAUAUUUUU